rnacentral:misc_RNA from 1 species
GUAGGUGAACCUGCGGAAGGAUCAUUAACAAAAAUCUGGUGAUCCGAAAGGAAAGCCAAUCAACCUUUGUGAAUAGGGCAUUUCUCAAGUUAGUAAUAACUAGGGAAAAGCUUAGUAGGGAGAGGGGAGGGAGAAAGGGAUUUGAUGGGAUCAAUAGUGAAAUUGUGAACUUAACUUUUGAGUUGACAGAGAAACUAUUGUUAUAAAGUCAUAUCUCUUAUCCUAAUUUUAGUAGUCUGAAUACUUGUCGAAAGACAAAUAAAAAUACAACUUUUAACAAUGGAUCUCUAGGCUCUU